GAGCUCUGAGGUUCCUCCUGUCAGGAUGAGGAGGAGCCAUACAUGGAAAACUGGGAUGCUCUCCAUGCCAUGAUGUUCAGAGUUUAGGUCUCAUGGCUUCUUGUGGUGUCAGCAUUGCAGCCAGUGGGCUGAAGGAAAUACAGCUUUAUU